rnacentral:rRNA from 1 species
UUUCGAACGCACAUUGCGGUCCGUGGAGAAACAUCCAGGACCACUCCUGUCUGAGGGCCG